AGGGCUGGGCUCAUCUGGGACACCUGGGACUUUCUCACCUGGGUCUUUCAUCCUGGGCUUCUUCCUGUCAUGGUGGCCACAGGUGUUCCGAGGGGAUGAGGUUGGACCUGCAAGGCCUGUGAAGGUGUAGGCUCUGAGGCUGCACAACUUCACUUCCACUGCAUUCUCUUGGUCAAAGCAGCAGACAAGGCCGCUCGGACACAAAGAGUGGAGAGAGCCAAGGAAACUUUUCUUUUGAGCUACCUACAGCUUUUAACAAUUGACAGGAUGCAACUGGAGAAACUGGUUGUUUUUACCAAGGCUUGGACUGGAAAGGGCAUGCUUCCCUUAAAAAAAUCAAGCUUGACUUGCAGAGCCAAUAAAAGCCCAUUGGGAAAACCGGCCUCAUACCUUGUCUA